rnacentral:rRNA from 1 species
UACGUAGGGGGCAAGCGUUGUCCGGAAUUACUGGGCGUAAAGCGCGUUCAGGCGGUUUGGCAAGUCGGGCAUGAAAUCUCUCGGCUCAACCGGGAGAGGUUGUCCGAUACUGCUGGACUUGAGUGCAGGAGAGAAGAGUGGAAUUCCACGUGUAGCGGUGAAAUGCGUAGAGAUGUGGAGGAACACCAGUGGCGAAGGCGACUCUUUGGCCUGUAACUGACGCUGAGGCGCGAAAGCGUGGGGAGCAAACAGG